GCAGGCAGAGAGGAGAGACGGUGCGGGUGAGCGGAUAGGUGUUUUAGCAGCAAAUGGAGCGGAAAACACAACCAAAAAUUUUAGGUUUCUUCACGCGACGAAGCCGGCCUACUUCACCCUCUGCGUCGCCUCGUCCCCCCCCCAAACUCCACCACCAGCAACUCCUCCACCGCCAGAUCCCCAGCUAUCCUCUAAACACAGAGGCAGUGGGUGGAACCCGGAGUGGGCUAGAGACCCCAAAUAUGCAGGAUUUACCAUACCGAACACGGAAUGUUUUGCAGACUAUGUAGAAUGCACCGUCAAAGGGCAUCACGUGGUCCCUCUCAAAGGCCGUUCAUAGAUGUCCUCUGCAGUAACUACAGACGUGAUGCCUUGGACUCGCACUUGAGCUCAGCUAAUCACGUUUCGUGUGUGGGCAUUGCAGCCCAAUCAAGCCGAAGUACACAGACAAGGAGGGAGAGAUGUUCUGUCAAUUCCUGGACCUUGUACCCAUUCCAGAUGGCACAGCUACAACUACAGCUGAAGCUGUGAAGGAGGUCAUGACACAAAAAGAGAUUCACCGGGACCACAUCUUUGACCUUGGAACAGAUGGAGCCGCAGUGAUGACCGGUAAACAGAAUGGCACAGCAAAAUUGCUGACUGACUCCUGGCCAGGAUUAGUGUCGGUGCACUGUGCUGCUCAUCGCCUGGCACUAGCAUGUAAAGAUGCAACAGAUGGAGUGCCAUAUAUGAAAAUCUU